UACGUAGGGUGCGAGCGUUAAUCGGAAUCACUGGGCGUAAAGCGUGCGCAGGCGGUUCGCUAAGACCGAUGUGAAAUCCCCGGGCUUAACCUGGGAACUGCAUUGGUGACUGGCGGGCUAGAGUGUGGCAGAGGGGGGUAGAAUUCCACGUGUAGCAGUGAAAUGCGUAGAGAUGUGGAGGAAUACCGAUGGCGAAGGCAGCCCCCUGGGCUAACACUGACGCUCAUGCACGAAAGCGUGGGGAGCAAACAGG
rnacentral:rRNA from 1 species